rnacentral:rRNA from 1 species
GAGACNACCCGCCGGCGGCCAACCCAACUCUUGUUUUUACACUGNAACUCUGAGAAUAAAACAUAAAUGAAUCAAAACUUUCAACAACGGAUCUCUUGGUUCUGGCAUCGAUGAANAACGCAGCGAAAUGCGAUAAGUAAUGUGAAUUGCAGAAUUCAGUGAAUCAUCGAAUCUUUGAACGCACAUUGCGCCCUCUGGUAUUCCGGAGGGCAUGCCUGUUCGAGCGUCAUUUCAACCCUCAAGCCUGGCUUGGUGAUGGGGCACUGCUUCUUACCCAAGGAGCAGGCCCUGAAAUUCAGUGGCGAGCUCGCCAGGACCCCGAGCGCAGUAGUUAAACCCUCGCUCUGGAAGGCCCUGGCGGUGCCCUGCCGUUAAACCCCCAACUUCUGAAAAUUUGACCUCGGAUCAGGUAGGAAUACCCGCUGAACUUAAGCAUAUCAAUAAGCGGAGGA